AAUUAUCUAGAUGCAACCCUCACAAGUCACAACCAUUGUUCAGCAGAAAACAAAGAGAGAAGCGCAAGGAGAUCACGAUGAGCAGUGGUGACGAGCAACUUCGACUUCGACGGUCGACUUCGACAAAUCUAACCUGAGGUAUUUCUCUCUCUGUGGAAAUAAAUGAUUUUAACUUCGUUGAUUUCGAACUCGUCAUCGUCUUCAAAUAGGUCAAGCUUUGGCACUUCAUUCGCAGCCUUGGGUUCAGUUUCCAUUCCUAAUAUCGUCUUCAAUUGUAAAUGACACCAGAUCUGUGGAUUUCCACAUAAUAAUAUAUAGAUAGAGAUAGAUAGAUAAAGAGAGAGAGAGGGGAGGGAGGGAGGGAGGGGACGCAGCGAUGAUAACAUGAUCGAAUCUGGCAGAACAGCUUCGGGAAUAUCAGAUUCGAUCGAAGCAUGAUUGGACUUCCGUCUCCUUCUUCUCCUCUACUUCUAAUCUCACGUCUUCAAGGUAUCUCUCAAAUCUCCCAAAAUAGGGGUUAUAUUCUCUCAAUUUCUGUUGACUUCUUUAGGUUUGUUCUUUAGGGUUUAAAUUUCACAUUUGCGUGAUCUAUGGCUGAUUAGGAAUGGUAAUUAAUUGAGAUUAGUCUGAACGAUUACUGGAUGAUGGAUCCUAUUCGAUCAAUUACGUUUUUUGUGUGCAUUAGUGGGUUUUAAUUUAUUUUUACAGUUCUUGAUUAUAGGUGUUUGAAUUGCGAAAGCAUGAAUCAAGAAUUUCUGAAAUUAAAACUACCAAACUAUAAUUCACGUGUUAAUUGUUCUUAGAAUGAUGCAUUAUGUCCAGAGGUAUUCUCCCUCGUCUGUUAUGAUAUUGUUCUGCUAAUAUGUAUAUGUAUAUACAUAUUAUGUAUAUGUAUAUGUAUAUGUCUAUAUAUGAUAUUGUUCUGCUAAUAUGUAUAUAUGUAUAUAUACAUAUUUAUAUGUUAGCCCUAUGGCGUCAAUCCGAUAUGUUGCCCCAAAUAUUAUGAGGAUAACAAAUUCUAUCUAUUACUCUAAUGUAUUUAAUCAAGUAUGAUAGUUCAAGAAACAUUCAAGCACAUAUCUCAAGGAGC
rnacentral:lncRNA from 1 species